CAAGUCGAGCGGCAGCGACAACAUUGAACCUUCGGGGGAUUUGUUGGGCGGCGAGCGGCGGACGGGUGAGUAAUGCCUGGGAAAUUGCCCUGAUGUGGGGGAUAACCAUUGGAAACGAUGGCUAAUACCGCAUGAUAGCUUCGGCUCAAAGAGGGGGACCUUCGGGCCUCUCGCGUCAGGAUAUGCCCAGGUGGGAUUAGCUAGUUGGUGAGGUAAGGGCUCACCAAGGCGACGAUCCCUAGCUGGUCUGAGAGGAUGAUCAGCCACACUGGAACUGAGACACGGUCCAGACUCCUACGGGAGGCAGCAGUGGGGAAUAUUGCACAAUGGGCGCAAGCCUGAUGCAGCCAUGCCGCGUGUAUGAAGAAGGCCUUCGGGUUGUAAAGUACUUUCAGCAGUGAGGAAGGAGGUAUCGUUAAUAGCGGUAUCUUUUGACGUUAGCUGCAGAAGAAGCACCGGCUAACUCCGUGCCAGCCGC
rnacentral:rRNA from 1 species